UUGCUUGGCCCUUUUCUUCGAAUAAGAUAGCUCCACAGUAAAGAUCACUUGCCUCAAUCAGCAAUCAAUCUGCUUUUUCCUUUGUAUGCCUUCCUUCGGCAAAAGGAAUUAACGAUUCUCCCCCUCUGGAAGGGUAAGGUUCCAAUUGAUAGCUAUUCUGGCAUUCCUAACACUAACAGAAGCAUUUACUAGCCUGAGAGGUCUGGAUGACAGGAAAGAAAUAAAAAGACGUUACCAAAAUAGGGUUCAUUAGCCUCCAGCCGAGGGAGAAUUCUGGCUUGUUCCUCCAAGUCGUAUAUAUAUAUCUAUAUAAUAUAGAGUUCGUCCAUUCGGGAAGGGGAUGGCUGCCCACAUACAUGAAUAGAAUCAGAGAUCUUAUAGACUCCGGAUUGAUACUAUAGGACAUGGGAACCCAGAGAAAGAAGGAUUUUGACUCUAGAGGACAUAGGAAACCAGAGGUUAGAGAACGAGCAAAGGCAAAAUAUAGUAAGCAACCACAUUCUUGUUUAGGGAUGUCUUGCCUCUCUUCAAUGGUUGCGGGAAAGAGAGAAGGGUUCAGGGAAUCUGAAGGUAUAGCUUAGAACACCGACUGCGCUAAAGGAAGAAUACCGGAGUGGCCCGUCCAAGAACCGAUGAUUUGCGCUUUACCUAUAUGGAAUUGAGUAUAGUGGUAGUCGAAAGGAGACGCACUACUUACUGCCGAACACUGGUUCCUGUAAGUCUGGGUCUAGGGCAUCUGGUCCCACUAUAGUUUGCUUCAGGCGGUAGCGCAUCUCCGUCUUAAGGGAGGCGGCAACAAUAUAACCUUUCUUUUUGGCUGUGGACUUUGAUAGCAUAAGACCACGUGGAAGGGUAAUGCCAUAAAGUUCCCCUGGAGACCACGGAAAAGGAAGCGCCUAGUGGCUAAGUAGUUCAGGUCUGGGCCAAGUAUGGAUAUAGCAGGCAUCGAAAAGGCAUUGGCUCACACAGUCCAAAACAAGCUCCUGUACCGGCACUACCAUUAGAGUUCGAAGGUUUAUACCUAUACUGGGGCAAUCUCAUGAAUUGGGUGGGAAUUCCUCUUAUUCAAUCCAUUGUGCCUAGGCGUGUGUGGAGAAGUAAAUGUAUGCCCGCGCAUUCAUAUGUUCGGGUGUGCAUGCCCGCAAGGUUCGGCUGUUUUGAGACGUACGCUCGGCCUAUUUCUUGGUGGAUCAACCAGUGGCUGCUAGAAUAGGUCUUAGUGCUCCAUCAAAGCAGGAAUGAUCUGUCAGUUGGGUAUAACAUGGAAAGCAUUAAUAAGGCAAUCAACAUUGUGAGUGGAUUAGUCAGUUCCUCUGUAUGAAGCCAUGAGAGCAUGCCAAGGAUAGAUUAACGAUGAAACCACAAAAAGGCAAUACUUCCUCUGCUAUGGGGCGAAAGAGAAGAUAAGAAUCGACUUGCACAAAAAAACCUCUGCUGACCCUUACGAAACUAUUCUUUACAAGCUCUUCACCUUCCAUUAAGAGAGUUCUAGUAUACCACCAAGCAUAGAGGUCUAUUAUCACGUUCUUAUUGAUGGCUCUUUAUUGAAUCGUAAGCUCCCUUUGCUUUCACAUGACAUUUGAUGGUUAUUAUCUAUGCACCUUCUACUUUAGCCAGAUGACUUUUCACUUUCAUUCACUUUCUGCAGCUAGUCAAGCAAGCACUAUUGCAAACUCCAACUAUCAAAACCGUUUAUGUCAAGGUUAAUGAAUGAUUCCAGGAUGGGGGAAUAACCAUAUUCUUUGUUGGCUCGCGAUCAAUGGCUCUAUGGACGUAUUCGUAUUCUAUUGUUCGAAUUUCAUGCACGCAUGCGACCUAGAAACCCACCCCCCUCUUUCCUAGACCCAUGUCCUAUUCUCCACAAGCUGGACUCCCAGCCGAGCAAGAUCCACAAUGUUCGAAAGUUGCUUUGAAGGAAGGCUAUACCACCAAGCCAAGCUCUCCCUGAGGAAAAAUAGACUCCUCUUGAGACGCUAUAGCUAUUGCUGCAGAGCCUAGUUGAACCGAUGAAACCGAAAUCCGUUAUCGUAGUUGGACCAGCGUCACUGGUAUAGUAGGCUACCUACAUAUGCCCAGAAACAGGGAGUCGGGUGCUAUUCCAUAGUUAGCCAGAUCUAGUGUAUUACAUGAUGUGCUACGCCUUACCUAUUCUUUUAUUAGUAGGUGAACUAGAAUCGUACCGGGGUCGCACAGAACGAGAAACAGUCAAGUUAGCCUAAAAGCAAGGUGCUGAAAGCCUAAGACCUAUUUUAGCAAGUAAGGAUCAUAGGUAAACUACAGACCGAAAGGACCAACUCUUAGGCUAACAGCAAAGAGAGGUAGGCGCAAACAGGAGAUAUAGCCUGAAAGCGGGAAGCGCUAGCGCUAGUGGGUUAAGGCCCAAAGAGAGGUAGGUUGAGAAGCAGGCUCGGUUCUGUAAAUGAAGCCUGAUUUCUGUGUUUUAGUAUUAGAAGCUGUAGACUAUAAGUCCAAGAACUCAACAUAGGCAACAGUUUUAGAGCGAGUAAAGCUAAGAUCAGGAUCUGUAAGCUAUAGCCUGAAAGCGGUAGUGCCAGUCUCAUAUGUAGAGCAGGGUUCGAGGUAAUACAGUAGAGCAAGAUCAGUAUCAGUCGGGUAAGAGUGAGUUGAGAGUUCUCGUAUGAAGGGUCGUGUUUCAAUCCGGUAGUAAGUAGCACCAUUCUUUCCAGUUUACAGAGCCGUGUUUCAAUCCGGUAGUAAGUAGCACCAUUCUUUCCGUUAGUAGUAACAUUCCUUUUAUGGGGAGUUCGCGGUUCUUUAACUAACAAGUAAGUAUGCUAGGGCAAAUCCAUAUGUUAUAGAUCGGGGGGCAGUAAGCCUAGAGACAGUAAAGCAAGGAUCCUUAGACAGUAUAGAGUAGAGCAAGGUUCGAGGACAGUGUUUGAUUCGCCAGGUAGUAGUUCAUCCUUAAAAGCACUAGUGGAGUUUGAGUUUCUAGUUAAGUUAUUUAGUAACUGUUCGAUGUUUGCUCCUAUCGGCUCAAUUAUAAUAGUACACUAGGACUAGGGUUUUGGAAGAAUUAGUAGAAUUUCUAACUUAAGAGGCUAUGUUUGAGUACACAAUCCAGUAAGCAAGCCUUGUUGACAUCAGUAUUGGUAUGAAAGCAAAGGAGCGGCAGCCCGGGCAAUAAAGAGAGAACUAAAGAGUAAAGUAUCGUUAGGCACUGUUGAGAGCCCAGUUACGAGUUAAAGUAUUUCCAGUAUUAGCUCAAUUCUGAUUAAUAGUGAUUUGAUUCUGAG
rnacentral:lncRNA from 1 species